UACGUAGGGGGCGAGCGUUGUCCGGAGUUACUGGGCGUAAAGGGCAUGUAGGCGGUCGUGUACAUGUCAGGGGACAGCUCUCGGCUUCACUGAGAGAGGCCCUGACCGAUGGCGCGACUUGAGGGACUCAGAGGGACACCGAAUUCCGGGUGGAGUGGUGAAAUGCGUAGAGAUCCGGAGGAAGACCAAAGGCGAAGGCCGUGUCCUGGGGGUUGCCUGACGCUGAGGUGCGAAAGCGAGGGGAGCGAACGGG
rnacentral:rRNA from 1 species